rnacentral:rRNA from 1 species
GGUUAAGCGACUAAGCGUACACGGUGGAUGCCCUGGCAGUCAGAGGCGAUGAAGGACGUGCUAAUCUGCGAUAAGCGUCGGUAAGGUGAUAUGAACCGUUAUAACCGGCGAUUUCCGAAUGGGGAAACCCAGUGUGUUUCGACACACUAUCAUUAACUGAAUCCAUAGGUUAAUGAGGCGAACCGGGGGAACUGAAACAUCUAAGUACCCCGAGGAAAAGAAAUCAACCGAGAUUCCCCCAGUAGCGGCGAGCGAACGGGGAGCAGCCCAGAGCCUGAAUCAGUGUGUGUGUUAGUGGAAGCGUCUGGAAAGGCGCGCGAUACAGGGUGACAGCCCCGUACACAAAAAUGCACAUGCUGUGAGCUCGAUGAGUAGGGCGGGACACGUGGUAUCCUGUCUGAAUAUGGGGGGACCAUCCUCCAAGGCUAAAUACUCCUGACUGACCGAUAGUGAACCAGUACCGUGAGGGAAAGGCGAAAAGAACCCCGGCGAGGGGAGUGAAAAAGAACCUGAAACCGUGUACGUACAAGCAGUGGGAGCACGCUUCGGCGUGUGACUGCGUACCUUUUGUAUAAUGGGUCAGCGACUUAUAUUCUGUAGCAAGGUUAACCGAAUAGGGGAGCCGAAGGGAAACCGAGUCUUAACUGGGCGUUAAGUUGCAGGGUAUAGACCCGAAACCCGGUGAUCUAGCCAUGGGCAGGUUGAAGGUUGGGUAACACUAACUGGAGGACCGAACCGACUAAUGUUGAAAAAUUAGCGGAUGACUUGUGGCUGGGGGUGAAAGGCCAAUCAAACCGGGAGAUAGCUGGUUCUCCCCGAAAGCUAUUUAGGUAGCGCCUCGUGAAUUCAUCUCCGGGGGUAGAGCACUGUUUCGGCAAGGGGGUCAUCCCGACUUACCAACCCGAUGCAAACUGCGAAUACCGGAGAAUGUUAUCACGGGAGACACACGGCGGGUGCUAACGUCCGUCGUGAAGAGGGAAACAACCCAGACCGCCAGCUAAGGUCCCAAAGUCAUGGUUAAGUGGGAAACGAUGUGGGAAGGCCCAGACAGCCAGGAUGUUGGCUUAGAAGCAGCCAUCAUUUAAAGAAAGCGUAAUAGCUCACUGGUCGAGUCGGCCUGCGCGGAAGAUGUAACGGGGCUAAACCAUGCACCGAAGCUGCGGCAGCGACGCUGAUGCGUUGUUGGGUAGGGGAGCGUUCUGUAAGCCUGCGAAGGUGUGCUGUGAGGCAUGCUGGAGGUAUCAGAAGUGCGAAUGCUGACAUAAGUAACGAUAAAGCGGGUGAAAAGCCCGCUCGCCGGAAGACCAAGGGUUCCUGUCCAACGUUAAUCGGGGCAGGGUGAGUCGACCCCUAAGGCGAGGCCGAAAGGCGUAGUCGAUGGGAAACAGGUUAAUAUUCCUGUACUUGGUGUUACUGCGAAGGGGGGACGGAGAAGGCUAUGUUGGCCGGGCGACGGUUGUCCCGGUUUAAGCGUGUAGGCUGGUUUUCCAGGCAAAUCCGGAAAAUCAAGGCUGAGGCGUGAUGACGAGGCACUACGGUGCUGAAGCAACAAAUGCCCUGCUUCCAGGAAAAGCCUCUAAGCAUCAGGUAACAUCAAAUCGUACCCCAAACCGACACAGGUGGUCAGGUAGAGAAUACCAAGGCGCUUGAGAGAACUCGGGUGAAGGAACUAGGCAAAAUGGUGCCGUAACUUCGGGAGAAGGCACGCUGAUAUGUAGGUGAAGUCCCUUGCGGAUGGAGCUGAAAUCAGUCGAAGAUACCAGCUGGCUGCAACUGUUUAUUAAAAACACAGCACUGUGCAAACACGAAAGUGGACGUAUACGGUGUGACGCCUGCCCGGUGCCGGAAGGUUAAUUGAUGGGGU